GAACAAUGUUUACAUCUUGAGCACCAACCGUUUUUCUCCUGAACGUGUGACAUACAGUCCGUUUGGUUUAAAACACCAC